rnacentral:lncRNA from 1 species
GAGCGAUGUGGUCGUCUGGGUUGCCAGUGCCGUCAUACAUCUUUAUGUUGGGGAAGGAGAACUUUCUCAGCAUCUCGAUCAGAGCAAUUUUGUCUGUGAAAGGAGUAUCGGCGUAAGAACCGGGAUUACUUUUCCGAAUCGGAGGUGCCACCCUGGGGAGCCUUUCUACCAUAGAUUGCAUGGCGUCGAGCUUCUUGGAGAACAACUUCUCCAGGUAGGUGGUCAAUGAGGACUGCAAUGCCGCGGCUCCUUCAGAUGUUUCCUUCUCGAAGUCUGGCUCGGAGUCGCUGGAUAGUGUUUCAUGGACUCGCGUAUCUCCAGCUUUUUCUCCUGGUGCCCCGGCUUCAUCUGAAGGCUGUCGAGCGGCGCUUCUUGUUGCUUGCUGUGUUGAGGGCUUGAUUCUUGUCUCGGAGAACAAGGUUUUCAGAUUCGAGCUGAGUAAGCUUCUCAGCACUUUUCUCCAGCUGCUUCGAGUGUUUGUCUAGUUUUUCCUUUAAGCUCUGGAUUGCGGAGGAAAGCUCAGGGUUCUCGGUAGCUUCCCGAGCCUUGUGCAAGUCGGUUACCUGGCUUUGCAAUCCGUCGAGUUGCCUUUGUAGCUCGGC